CGUCAUCGUCACCGAAACCCAAUCAAACACCUCCCAGCAGACCUCAGCCGUCCGAUCAAAAUUCAACGGCCCUCCUCCUUCUCCCCCGCCACCGUUUUGGUCGUCGUCUCCUCCUCGCCCAAGCCACCGACCACGCCACCACCAUCCAUUCUCCAUCUCGGCGUCCUCCCCAUGCCAAAGGGUUAGGGUUUCCCUUCACCUCCACUGCCAUGGCACUCGAUGACUCCGCCGCCACCACCACCUCGUCCGAGCCCGGCCUCGUCGGCGGCGGCGUGAUGAACAGCGAGGAGAAGGUCGCCGCGAGGCCACUGCUCUCGCCGCCCUACCCCUCCGCGACCGCGACCGCGACUGCGCCGGUGCAGGAGAGUAUCGAGGAGCUGGACCGGAGGUACGCGCCGUACGCGCGGCGGGACGCGUACGGUCCGAUGGGCCUCGGGCCCAUUGGGGCGGCCGAGGCGGCACGGCUGGCGUUCUCGGCGGUUGUCCUCGUCCCUCUCCGUGUCGUGGCGGGCGUGCUCGUGCUCGUGGCCUACUACCUAGUGUGCCGCGUGUGCACGCUGCGAGUGGAGGAGGAGCGGGAGGGCGGCGAGGGGGACGGGUACGCGCGGCUCGAGGGGUGGAGGCGGGAGGGGGUCGUGCGGUGCGGCCGCGCGCUCGCUCGCGCCAUGAUGUUCGUCUUCGGGUUCUACUGGAUCCGGGAGUACGACUGCCGCUUCCCGGGUGCCGAGGAUGAGCAUGUGGACCAGUCUAAAGAACUGGAAAGGCCAGGUGCAACUGUAUCUAAUCAUGUAUCUUAUGCGGAUAUUCUUUAUCACAUGUCAGCCUCUUUUCCAAGUUUUGUUGCUAAGAGAUCAGUGGCCAGAUUGCCCCUAGUUGGUCUCAUAAGCAAAUGUCUUGGAUGCAUUUUUGUUCAGCGGGAGUCUAAAACAUCAGAUUUCAAAGGUGUUUCAGGUGCCGUAACUGAAAGAAUCCAGCGUGCUCAUCAACAAAAAAAAGCUCCAAUGAUGCUACUCUUCCCUGAGGGCACAACUACAAAUGGGGAUUAUCUACUUCCAUUCAAAACUGGUGCCUUUCUUGCAAAAGCACCAGUUCAGCCAGUCAUUUUAAGAUAUCCUUACAAAAGGUUUAAUCCAGCAUGGGAGUCCAUGUCAGGGGCACGCCAUGUAUUUCUGCUCCUCUGUCAAUUUGUCAAUUUUCUAGAGGUGAUCCAUCUGCCUGUUUACUAUCCUUCCAAGCAAGAAAAGGAUGAUCCUAAGCUCUAUGCAAAUAAUGUGCGGAAAUUGAUGGCAGUGGAGAAAAUAAUUGCUCUUCAGUAUGUAUCAUCAGAAUUGCAAGUUACAGAAUUCUUCACUAAAGCUCAAUCUCAAGUGCAUCAUCGGCUUCAUUUGCUCAAACUAAAUAUUUCUGAGCCUCCUGUACCACCUUAAGUUUGAGGGGAGGAGGGUGUUAAGUAUGUAUAUAUCUAGGCCCACAUAUAUCGUGGGCCCAUGAGAUGGCCCAUGAUGUCUCUAUAUGUUGAAGUCAAGACAAAUGGAUGGAUUCACCUUUAAUACACUUUUUCAGUCAAGGGUAACUUAAUUCUUUCAGAACUUGGGCUGGCGGAGAAGCGAGUGUACCAUGAGGCACUGAAUGGAUUAUUGUGUCAAAGCUAAUUUGGAUAAAACUUGGAAAUGCGCGCUGUUAACAUUUCCUGGUUGUCCCUGUACCAUUUUUUAGAGGAAAAAGAAAUCAAAAUUUGUCAAGAUAACAUUUGUAGAUGACCACACCUUUUUGCUGCAAGAAUCAGGUAGGCUUUUAAACCAGGAGUUACAGCCUAGGGGCCAAGGGAGGCAAUUGCCCAAUUUGCCAUUUUCUUUUACUCAGCAUCACAGUUCACGUUGAUAUAUGUUUUGAGUUGCCAUGAUGUACCUGAUGUAUUUAUUGACUAACAUGUGAUUUUUCUAACAAAUAUGAUGGUUUUUCUUUUUUGUUCUUA